AUUGAACGCUGGCGGCAUGCCUUACGCAUGCAAGUCGAACGGUAACGCGGGGCAACCUGGCGACGAGUGGCGAACGGGUGAGUAACGCAUCGGAACGUGCCCAGUAGCGGGGGAUUGCCCGGCGAAAGCCGGAUUAAUACCGCAUACGACCUACGGGUGAAAGGGGGGGAUCGCAAGACAUCUCGCUAUUGGAGCGGCCGAUGUCAGCUUAGGUGGGUGGUGGGGUAAAGGCCUACCAAGCCGACGAUCUGUAGCUGGUCUGAGAGGACGACCAGCCUCACUGGGACUGAGACACGGCCCAGACGCCUACGGGAGGCAGCAGUGGGGAAUUUUGGACAAUGGGCGAAAGCCUGAUCCAGCCAUGCCGCGUGCGGGAAGAAGGCCUUCGGGUUGUAAACCGCUUUUGUCAGGGAAGAAAUCUUCUGGGUUAAUACCUCGGGAGGAUGACGGUACCUGAAGAAUAAGCACCGGCUAACUACGUGCCAGCAGCCGCCGUAA
rnacentral:rRNA from 1 species